UACAGAGGUCUCAAGCGUUGUUCGGAUUCAUUGGGCGUAAAGCGCGUGUAGGCGGUCCGAUAAGUCGGCUGUGAAAGUCCAGGGCUCAACUCUGGAAUGCCGGCCGAUACUGUCGGACUAGAGUCCGGAAGAGGUGAGUGGAAUUCCCGGUGUAGCGGUGAAAUGCGCAGAUAUCGGGAGGAACACCAAUGGCGAAGGCAGCUCACUGGGACGGCACUGACGCUGAGACGCGAAAGCGUGGGGAGCAAACAGG
rnacentral:rRNA from 1 species